CCGACAAGUCGAUAGCUCAGUUGGCAGAGCGGUGGACUGUAGAACCAUAGGUCGCUGGUUCGAAUCCGGCUCGACGGA